rnacentral:rRNA from 1 species
UACAGAGGUCUCAAGCGUUGUUCGGAUUCAUUGGGCGUAAAGGGUGCGUAGGCGGCGCGGUAAGUCGGGUGUGAAAUCCUGGAGCUCAACUCCAGAACUGCCUUCGAUACUGAGAGACUUGAGUUCGGGAGAGGUGAGUGGAACUGCGAGUGUAGAGGUGAAAUUCGUAGAUAUUCGCAAGAACACCAGUGGCGAAGGCGGCUCACUGGCCCGGUACUGACGCUGAGGUGCGAAAAGCGUGGGGGAGCAAACAGG